GACGAACGCUGGCGGCGUGCCUAAUACAUGCAAGUCGAGCGAGCUUGCCUAGAUGAUUUUAGUGCUUGCACUAAAAUGAAACUAGAUACAAGCGAGCGGCGGACGGGUGAGUAACACGUGGGUAACCUGCCCAAGAGACUGGGAUAACACCUGGAAACAGAUGCUAAUACCGGAUAACAACACUAGACGCAUGUCUAGAGUUUGAAAGAUGGUUCUGCUAUCACUCUUGGAUGGACCUGCGGUGCAUUAGCUAGUUGGUAAGGUAACGGCUUACCAAGGCGACGAUCAGUAGCCGACCUGAGAGGGUGACCGGCCACAUUGGGACUGAGACACGGCCCAA
rnacentral:rRNA from 1 species